AUUUCCCUCUUUCCUCAUGCUUUACACAUGCAAGUCGAACGGCAGCGCGGGCUUCGGCCUGGCGGCGAGUGGCGAACGGGUGAGUAAUACAUCGGAACGUGCCCAGUAGUGGGGGAUAGCUCGGCGAAAGCCGGAUUAAUACCGCAUACGACCUGAGGGUGAAAGCGGGGGAUCUUCGGACCUCGCGCUAUUGGAGCGGCCGAUGGCAGAUUAGCUAGUUGGUGGGGUAAAGGCCUACCAAGGCGACGAUCUGUAGCUGGUCUGAGAGGACGACCAGCCACACUGGGACUGAGACACGGCCCAGACUCCUACGGGAGGCAGCAGUGGGGAAUUUUGGACAAAGGGCGAAAGCCUGAUCCAGCAAUGCCGCGUGUGUGAUGAAGGCCUUCGGGUUGUAAAGCACUUUUGGCGGGAACGAAAAGGACUGUGCCAAUACCACGGUUCGAUGACGGUACCCGCAGAAUAAGCACCGGCUAACUACGUG
rnacentral:rRNA from 1 species